GACGGAGGAUGCAAGUGUUAUCCGGAAUCACUGGGCGUAAAGCGUCUGUAGGUGGUUCAAUAAGUCAACUGUUAAAUCUUGAGGCUCAACCUCAAAAUCGCAGUCGAAACUAUUCGACUAGAGUAUAGUAGGGGUAAAGGGGAAUUUCCAGUGGAGCGGUGAAAUGCGUAGAGAUCGGAAAGAACACCAACGGCGAAAGCACUCUGCUGGGCCGACACUGACACUGAGAGACGAAAGCUAGGGGAGCGAAUGGG
rnacentral:rRNA from 1 species